rnacentral:rRNA from 1 species
UACGGAGGGUGCUAGCGUUGUUCGGAAUUACUGGGCGUAAAGGGCUCGUAGGCGGCCAACUAAGUCAGACGUGAAAUCCCCAGGCUUAACCUGGGAACUGCAUCCGAUACUGGAUGGCUUGAAUCCGGGAGAGGGAUGCAGAAUUCCAGGUGUAGCGGUGAAAUGCGUAGAUAUCUGGAGGAAUACCGGUGGCGAAGGCGGCAUCCUGGACCGGCAUUGACGCUGAUGAGCGAAAGCUAGGGGAGCAAACGGG